UACGUAGGGUGCAAGCGUUGUCCGGAUUUAUUGGGCGUAAAGAGCGUGUAGGCGGCCAUACAGGUCAGCUGUGAAAACUCGAGGCUCAACCUCGAGACGUCGGUUGAAACCGUAUGGCUAGAGUCCGGAAGAGGAGAGUGGAAUUCCCGGUGUAGCGGUGAAAUGCGCAGAUAUCGGGAAGAACACCCGUGGCGAAGGCGGCUCUCUGGGACGGUACUGACGCUGAGACGCGAAAGCGUGGGGAGCGAACGAGG
rnacentral:rRNA from 1 species